rnacentral:rRNA from 1 species
CCUACGGGAGGCAGCAGUGAGGAAUAUUGGUCAAUGGGCGCGAGCCUGAACCAGCCAAGUCGCGUGAGGGAUGACGGUCCUACGGAUUGUAAACCUCUUUUGCCGGGGAGCAAGCGUGCGUUCGUGAACGCGCGUCGAGAGUACCCGGAGAAAAAGCAUCGGCUAACUCCGUGCCAGCAGCCGCGGUAAUACGGAGGAUGCGAGCGUUAUCCGGAUUUAUUGGGUUUAAAGGGUGCGUAGGCGGGAUGCCAAGUCAGCGGGAAAAAUGCGGUGCUAAACGCCGUCGAGCCGUUGAAACUGGCGUUCUUGAGUGGGCGAGAGGUAUGCGGAAUGCGUGGUGUAGCGGUGAAAUGCAUAGAUAUUAGGAGGAACACCAGUGGCGAAGGCGGCUUACUGGACUGUAACUGACGUUGAGGCUCGAAAGCGUGGGGAGCAAACAGGAUUAGAUACCCCUGUAGUC